rnacentral:sRNA from 1 species
GCAGCAACGCAUGCCCCCGGCCAAACCGC